GACGAACGCUGGCGGCGUGCUUAACACAUGCAAGUCGAACGGUGAAGCGCCUUCCUUUUUGGUGGGUGUGGAUGAGUGGCGAACGGGUGAGUAACACGUGAGUAACCUGCCCCCUUCUUCUGGAUAACCGCAUGAAAGUGUGGCUAAUACGGGAUAUUCUGGGUCUGUCGCAUGAUGGGUCUGGGAAAGAUAUUGUUUCGGUGGGGGAUGGGCUCGCGGCCUAUCAGCUUGUUGGUGGGGUGAUGGCCUACCAAGGCGGUGACGGGUAGCCGGCCUGAGAGGGUGGACUGUCACACUGGGACGGAGGCACGGCCCAGACUCGUACGAGAGGCAGCAGUGGGGAAUAUUGCACAAUGGGCGCAAGCCUGAUGCAGCGACGCCGCGUGAGGGAUGGAGGCCUGCGGGGUGUGAACCUCAUUCGCCAGUGAAGCAGGCCUGCCUCGUUUGUGGGUGGGUUGACGGUAGCUGGAUAAGAAGCGCCGGCUAACUACGUG
rnacentral:rRNA from 1 species